GACCUAAUAGCGAAGUUGGCGUCGCGUCUGCUCUGGUGGGGGACAAUAUUUGGUAAUGGCCUUCAUGUGGAAGUCCCUCGUUCGAACCGAGGUUAGGUCC